AUUGAACGCUGGCGGCAGGCCUAACACAUGCAAGUCGAGCGGAUGAAGGGAGCUUGCUCCUGGAUUCAGCGGCGGACGGGUGAGUAAUGCCUAGGAAUCUGCCUGGUAGUGGGGGAUAACGUCCGGAAACGGGCGCUAAUACCGCAUACGUCCUGAGGGAGAAAGUGGGGGAUCUUCGGACCUCACGCUAUCAGAUGAGCCUAGGUCGGAUUAGCUAGUUGGUGGGGUAAAGGCCUACCAAGGCGACGAUCCGUAACUGGUCUGAGAGGAUGAUCAGUCACACGGGAACUGAGACACGGUCCAGACUCCUACGGGAGGCAGCAGUGGGGAAUAUUGGACGAUGGGGGAGAGCCGGAUCCAGCCAUGCCGCGUGUGUGAAGAAGGUCUUCGGAUUGUAAAGCACUGUAAGUUGGGAGGAAGGGCAGUAAGUUAAUACCGUGCUGUUUUGACGUUACCAACAGAAUAAGCACCGGCUAACUUCGUG
rnacentral:rRNA from 1 species